ACGCUUGAAGUCAGUCGCGUUGUCCAGGGAUCAACCUUGCUUUUGCUUGGUGUACUUUCUGGUUAACGGGUCAGCAUCAAUUUUGACUGUUGGAAAAAGAUCAGGGGAAUGUGGCAUCUUUAGAUGUGUUAUAGCCCUUGGUUGCAUACAAUGGUUGAGAUUGAGGAACUCAGCACGCCGCAAGGCCGGGUAUUAACCACGUACGUGCUUAGGAUGCUGGCAUAAUGGCUUUAAUCGACCCGUCUUGAAACACGGACCAAGGAGUC
rnacentral:rRNA from 1 species